rnacentral:rRNA from 1 species
UGGGGAAUAUUGCACAAUGGGCGAAAGCCUGAUGCAGCAACGCCGCGUGAGUGAUGAAGGCCCUCGGGUUGUAAAGCUCUGUCUUUUGGGACGAUAAUGACGGUACCAAAGGAGGAAGCCACGGCUAACUACGUGCCAGCAGCCGCGGUAAUACGUAGGUGGCAAGCGUUGUCCGGAUUUACUGGGCGUAAAGGAUGCGUAGGCGGAUUUUUAAGUGAGAUGUGAAAUACCCGGGCUUAACUUGGGUGCUGCAUUUCAAACUGGGAAUCUAGAGUGCGGGAGAGGAGAAUGGAAUUCCUAGUGUAGCGGUGAAAUGCGUAGAGAUUAGGAAGAACACCAGUGGCGAAGGCGAUUCUCUGGACCGUAACUGACACUGAGGCAUGAAAGCGUGGGUAGCAAACAGGAUUAGAUACCCUGGUAGUCCACGCCGUAAACGAUGAGUACUAGGUGUAGGAGGUAUCGACCCCUUCUGUGCCGCAGUUAACACAAUAAGUACUCCGCCUGGGAAGUACGAUCGCAAGAUUAAAACUUAAAGGAAUUGACGGGGUCAUAGCUGUUUUCC